rnacentral:rRNA from 1 species
CAGCCGCCGCGGUAAUACGGAGGGUGCAAGCGUUAAUCGGAAUUACUGGGCGUAAAGCGUGCGUAGGCGGUUUGUUAAGUCUGCUGUGAAAUCCCCGGGCUCAACCUGGGAAUGGCAGUGGAUACUGGCAAGCUAGAGUGUGUCAGAGGAUGGUGGAAUUCCCGGUGUAGCGGUGAAAUGCGUAGAGAUCGGGAGGAACAUCAGUGGCGAAGGCGGCCAUCUGGGACAACACUGACGCUGAGGCACGAAAGCGUGGGGAGCAAACAGGAUUAGAUACCCCUGUAGUCCCUGUCUCUUAUAC